CGGUUUUAUAAUUUAUAGAAGUGCCCCACUUCGAGACAAGUGCAUAUUAUUAGAGUAUUCCGAUCGCUAUAUAAAAUUUAUGAAACGUGUUAUAAUUUCAUAAAACGUAACAUUUUUUAGACACUAAAAGAGAUAAGAUAAAAACCCUCACCACAAUACUAUGUCUCGUUAGCCAACAACAUUCUUUCACAUCACAGCUGAUGUUGACGACUGAAAACAGUUUUUAUAUAAUAUUAUUGAGAUUCCGUGCACGUUUUCUACAGUACCUAUCUACAGGUAAUAAUAUUGUAUUUUGAAUAUUGUAACAAUAUAUAUGUACACUAUGCUUGAUACAACAACUUAAGCAUACUAGAGUUUUGAAUGUUCGUGAACGCUUAAUUUGACAGGGUUCGGACAGGUGUAAAUUGUUCGACAAGAGUUGUAUUUGUUAGAUCUGAUUGAAUAUACACCAUUGAGUGAAUUGAGUGACGGCAAUUCAUAGAAUUAAUUAACUGAAUAUAACAGGCUACGGAAUUUAAAAAUCAUUUUAAUAUAAUAGUUGUUUAAUUUAGUUUGGUGACAAAGUUGAAAAAUGUUUAAGCAAUGUUUAAAACAAUUGAUCAAAAUUAUCAUCAUUGU